UUUGACGGAGAGUUUGAUCCUGGCUCAGGAUGAACGCUGGCGGCGUGCUUAACACAUGCAAGUCGAACGAUGAGACGGUGCUUGCACCGUGGAUUAGUGGCGAACGGGUGAG
rnacentral:rRNA from 1 species